UUUUUUUUUUUUUUUGGGGCCAAUUUGCAUAAAAAAUUCACUUAUUUUGGGCUUUUGCAAAACCGGGCCAUCUUUUUCGUUUUUGCAAAUUCGGUCCGCUUUUUCAGCAAACUGACCAAAAUACCCUUUUUACUUUUUCUCUUUCCUCUUUCUCUCUUCUCUUCGUUCUCUCGUUCUUUUUUUUUUCGCCGAAAAAAAAAGCGACGGCCGGAGCACUGCCAGGCGGGCUCUUCUUCUUCUUCUUCUUUCUGCAGGAGCAAUUUUUUUUUCUCUUUUUCUUUUUCUUCUUCUUCUUCCACCUGCUGGAGCUUUUUUUUUUUUUCCCCUCUUCUUCUUCUUCCACCUGCUGGAGCUUUUUUUUUUUUUCCCUAUUCUUCUUCUUCUUCUUCUUUUUCUUCCU
rnacentral:lncRNA from 1 species